rnacentral:lncRNA from 1 species
GGAGCUCACAGCCUAGCAGGGAUGGAAAGCAAAGGCUGAGAUCACAGUGAAACAGAGACAAGGUGUGAUCCCUAUGACACGUGAGGGAGUAGAGACAAUGAAGAUGCAGGUGAACAACCUCCACCAAUGCAGGGAAGCUCAUCUGUGGUGUGAAGGAGUUUGACAUAGAGACCAGUCAUUCCCAGGGUGGACAACCUCUGCUGGGACACAGGAAUAAGAUCAUAGAAUUAUCGUCUGUAUUUUUUUUUAAUCUCAUGCUUUUCAAAUGCACAUGUCUCUGCAUUCCUUAUAAUGUGUGAACUACAGUAGCACAUUCACAAGGUAGAAAUGAGGAUGCGGCUGUAGGUCAGAAGUAGUGUUUGCAUUCUGUCCCCAGCAGGAAGGUAGAAUAAUCAGGAAAUAGCCAUCGAAGAACUUCAAGCAGGGAGUAGUGGGGUCAGCUUUCCCACUCGGGAAGGCCAGCUGGGCUGUCGUGUGGAGAAGAAUGCAGUUACAGAGAUUAGUCAGGGAGAACGGCAGAAGCUGAACAGCUGAGAGACCCUGAAGGCCCAAGCUGGGUGGAGGUGGCUGGGCAAAUUGGAGCAAGAGUUUGGAGAGAGAAUUGCUAGUAUUUCCAACUUACUAAAUGUGGGCCUUGGAAAAGAGAUGGAAGUGAGAAGAUGAUAUGUAAGAUUCUGUGUCGGGCACGGAAAUGAAUGGUGAGUCUGUCACUGCGACUUCAGGCCAGACGAAGCCUGUGGACCGUCCUUUGGGGGGGCAGAGAAGUUACUGGUGAAAUGAUCAAAACAGCUGUGGUGGGACAAGGUGGGUCAGUGUGCAGAGUGCCGAGGACCGGAUCAGGGUGAAGAAUUAGAAACACCCGUGGGAAGGGGAUGUAUUCCAGACACACAGUCGUGAAUGGGGCGUUUUUAAGACGGGACUUCCGUCUUGUAAGGGUCCAGUCUCUCCCCUUACUCCUUUCUCCACUCUUUCCAGACACACAAUCAUCUUUCUUUUCACCAUGCCUGGUCCACCUUCUUGGUUACUGUCAGAAAGUCACUCAAUCCACCACAGAUACCGACAGCAGCAGUGAGGUGGUCCCGCAACCAGGAACAGUGUUUGGGCCACGUGAAAUCUUUUUGGGGGUCCAACCUGGGAAGGAAAGCCCAUUCACAGGGUGUGUGUACGUGUGUGCCCGUCCAUCUCUGAAGUCUUGUUUCAGAGCCCAGCUUGAGGUUCUGGGCGCUAGAGGGCCAGGAGGCGGCAGUAGAAGCGGGCGGACCGGUGCGCUGGCCUUGGUGCUGAAGGUGGAGGCUGUGCCUCUGGAGCGACCUCGGUCAACCCCGGACCAUCUGCAGAGGAAAUUUCCCCAGCCUCUCUGGCCACCUGCCCUGGGUGAAUCUCUCCCGCUCCUCCCCUCCCCUCUCCAAGUGAGAAAUACCUGCCGAAGCGUUCUGCCCGGACGACGGCCUUUCUCUCUGGGGUAAGAUG